rnacentral:lncRNA from 1 species
UAUAUGACGUUGCAUAUAGAGUAAAUUUGGAUCAGAAUAAUUGCAUUUGCUAGAAAGGUUGCAGUUCCAACAUGAAUGGCACUUCUCCUUCUGCCUUUAACCUCCUAUACUUCCAAUCCCCAUGGCCACCUAUAUGCCCGACCCAGUGUCCUAGGGUUCACGCCAUUGAUCCUCCCACCCCUCUAGGACCAAGCUUGCACCACAAGAGCUCAAAAGUUGGGUUAAGAUGUGAUUAUGUGAGCGCUGGAGCAAUAAUUCUCUAAAUUCUAAUUGUAACUCCCUAGGAAUGACUAUCCAUCUGUUAAAGAGAAUAUGUAAAUUAUCCAUCUUUUCUUAGACUUCUGAGGUUAACUUAUCUAAACUAGCUCUCAAAUUCGAAUUCUAUAUGGUGCAAUUAAAUAUCCCCUCCGCCAAAGAAAUGCAAAUUCAUAUCCUUGUUUCGGGAUUUUGACCAGCAAUGAGUCAAUUACGAGUAUGUUUAGUAGGCACAAAAUGUAUAUUUCCAAAUUAUUUUAAACUAUAUUGGCCUUUUUAAAAAAUAUUAUAUUUUGCGUCAAGUAUUAUCAAAUUUUUGAGCUCCAUAGACAUGCCCAUGACCCACCCAUAUCAUAUAUGCCUGUGUUUAUAGGCAUGGACAUGAAACGCCACGAAUAUAGGAGUAUAGGAGUGGGAGGCACUGGGAUCACUCGAGAUGCAUGAGGGGUUUCAUCCUGAAUCUAUAUCGCCCAUGAUGUCUCCAUGUUUUAUUGAAAUAUUUUCCACCGUUUCCGUGAGACCUCGGAGGCACAUAUGACUUAGAUGGAG